rnacentral:rRNA from 1 species
AUGUCCAGCUUCAGCAAAUUCUUUAGUCUUGACACAACAAAAGACAGAUCAGUAUUUGUCACUCCUGAGCACUUGCUCAGGCUCAACUCUCUUAAAGAGACACAAGAAAUUCCAAUGUCUUUUAGUCCAUCAGCCAUGACUUGCAGCCUUCCAAUUUCAGGGUCUGCAAUUUAG